UCGCGGGUGACUGCGAAUCUGAAGGAAGCCCGAGGCAAAAUGCUGGCCUGACGAACAGGAAGCGGAUAGUGGCGGCGUAGCGGGGUGAGGCAGCAAAGAGUGCCAAAGCCCAGUACUUGGUAAGCGCUCCAUAAA
rfam:Pseudomonas fluorescens HK44 Contig7, whole genome shotgun sequence.